CGUGCACAGGUAGACAUGGACACAGAUCACUCGAUGACAGCGGAAACCGUCUGUGAAAAUGCUCGAGUUAGGAAUCGUGGCAGCAGCCGCGAGCCAAUUGACCUCCAUGCACGUGUCUCUUCAAGGCGUACAAAUCGUAGAAAGUACUGCGCAUACGAAGUUACCGGCACUACGCGCACUCUGUAAACAUCGCGGAUCGCUUGGAAGAUGAGGAACGCGCGGGAGCGCUCUUUCGCCGCGUCGCAGACCGCUUUCAAGACACACGAGCGCCGGCAACGCGUCCCUACGGCGUCCGCCAAAGGCGUCUACUACGGCGUCCGCGAUUCGCGUGGCCAACGCCGUAGUAGACGCCGCGGUUGUCUUCCCUCUGUACGGAGCGGCGGGCGAGGAGGACAUAGAGGCGACGAGUAGGUCGGACGUUGGUCGGACGUGCUCCGAUCGGCUCCUGCUUUUUCUCGAUCUGUUGGAGGUUUAUAAAGUGGUUUCUCGUGAACUUUUGAGUGCAUCGCUUCAGUGGAGACUGCCGAACACGUGGAUACCUUUUUUGGAAAUACAUCGUGCCAACGCCUUAUGGCAGCACUGUAAAUGGCUUUGGCGACAAGAAUGCAGACCUGGACAUUACUCUGCUAUUUCUAAAGGCGAAAGUUAAAGUUGAUUCAGGCAAGUUCCUCGCCAAAGUAGCAGACAUGCUGAAAAAGUCCGGUUUUUGCACUGCUGGAAGUGUCAAUAUCGUACCGGCGCGAGUUCCUCUACUAGAACUGACGCACAGCAGUGCAAUUCCAGUAGACGUGACUGUCAACAGAGCCUCAGCAGUUGAUAGCUCACAUUAUUUAAAAUACUACAGCAACCUUGAUGAACGAGUUGCUCCCCUGGUACUCUUCGUAAAAAGAUGGGCUGAAAGGUCUGGAAUAAGAGGAGCAAGAAAAGGAGGCCUGUCAUCAGUCACAUUGUGUGUCAUGGUGAUAUCACAUUUACAAGGUAAGGGACCUUUUAAACAAGUGCAUUUGAAAUGCAUGCCCAGCUUGCUAUAGUUACGCCCUGAAAUACUUUAUCUGAAGUCUAUUUGUUUUGCGGCAUCUACUUGCCUUUAAUAGCGUUUCAGAUUAGUUUGCAGGGAAUAGGUGUGAUGUAUUUCCUUUCCCGUCACCGGAAUAGACGCAUUCUUUGUCUGGUCGCCGACUCGAGCAGCCCGGAUCUUACUUUUGUGGCGCUUCAUGCCAGGCCGUCAGGCCUCACUGCAUAGGUCCCGCGUCCGGCCGCCCCGUCAAAGCUACUACAAACUGGCGACGAGGGUGGGACCUACGGCGUGAGGCCUGAUGGCCUGGCGCGAAGCGACGCAACAGAAGAGCCGGACUCCUCGAGUCGGGGCCAGACAA
rnacentral:lncRNA from 1 species